rnacentral:misc_RNA from 1 species
AUAUCAGGAGCUGUUUUCUCAAUUGAAGUCUUUGAAUCUUCUCUUCAUCUUUGGCAGUCGGAUGAAUCUGGUAUUGGGUGUCUUCUCUACUUGAUUGAUGUUAUUGCAAGCCUCCUUAGUGGGAGACUUGUUCGGGAGCGAAUUGGUCCAGCCAUGUUAAGUGCAGUACAAAGCCAGAUGGGUGCUGUUGAAACAAGCUUUGACGAAGUCCAGAACAUCUUUGACACUGGUGGUGCCAAGGGAUUGCCAGGUGAUUCUGUUGAAAAGAUCCCCAAGAUCAAAAUCACAAGUAAUAACAACGUAGAUGCUUCAGGGGAGAGAGUUGCUUGUUCAGUUUGCCUUCAGGACUUUCAGCUUGGAGAGACGGUGAGAAGCUUGCCUCAUUGUCAUCACAUGUUCCACCUACCAUGCAUAGAUAAGUGGCUCCUUAGGCAUGCAUCUUGCCCAUUGUGCAGAAGGGAUCUGUGAUGUGUUUUUUUCCCUGUAAAUUACAAGAUGAGAAAUGGUUAUUUUAUUAAUUACAUGUAUGGUCACUACCUUUGAGGGCCUUUUCUGUUUUUAUCCAUUCAUCUGACCAGAUGAGUUGUGGUAGUUUAGGUAUGCCACGAUCUUUAUACUAGAUCAGUGAUUUGUAUAAAAAUUUUGAGUUAUGGUAGUUUUAAUUGCAUUUUUUUUUUCAAAAAAAAAAAAAAAA